GAGCCGACGCCCAAACUCACAUCCCAGUUCGAUUUUUAAAUGCCGUCGUGCCCCUUCGACCCUUUUUUGCAUGGGGAAUUAACCGACCUGGCGGAAUUAAAUCUGUGCCGGCUGAGAUGUUAAGAAUGAUAUUCCAAUGGCAAAAUUCUUAGACCAGGAAACGUGAACAAUCCAGGGUUACAUCCUCUUUUUCCGGCAUUUUUUCAACUACGUACAGGGUGCGUCGAUUGUGGCCAAAAAAUCAGACCCUGAAAAUUGCCGUGUUCGUGGGUAAUUUAUCAUCCGUUAAUGAAAAACUAUAAAACUUGGGAAAAAGAAAUAGUUGUAGGACUAACGGUUCCCGAGAUAUGGUCGACAUACCUUAUUAACGGGC